CAAGAUUGGAAACUGAAGAAAAGGAGAAAUAAAACCAAAAAAUUAUCCUGAUCCAUUAAUAUCUAAGAUAAUUUCAGACAUUACAAUGAUUUACAAUACACUGAUAAUGACUUUAUAUCUUUUGCUCCUAAGGAUUACAAGUCAUAACUCAAAUUGCUAAAAUAGAUUAAAAAAAAUUCCAGUCCACUCAGAAGAGGCAGAUAACAG
rnacentral:misc_RNA from 1 species